CUAUCUGGAAACAUAACGCAAAAUUCGAUUAGGCGAGAGAGAGCAAGAGGGGUCAGCCACGGGGGGUUGUCAACUUUCGCCACUGGUACUAUCAAGCCACCACGGCAGACGGAAGAGCUAUCUAAAGUUUUGAAUCUGCAUAGGCACACGUCAAGGUUAGAAUACCUGAAGCCAGGAAGGACAGACAAUGCCCAAUACAAAGUUAUUGACUGUGGAAUAGGCAGCUGGGGUUGACUGAUACAUCUGCAACUGCUAUGAUGUGUUUUCCUCCCCUAUGGCAGGGGAGUAUUUCAAAGAAUCACCUGCCACCAAGGAUGCAGGCUCUCCAGCCCAGCAGUUCUCGAGCAUCUCCUGCAGCUCCAAUGUAUUCUGAAGUACCGUGAUGUCACAAAAACUAAAAACAUGCCUCUGUGUUCAUACGAAGUGUAUCCAAUCUCAGAGGAUUAGUAAUUAAAAAGGGCGGGGAGACAUCCUUCCAGAAUGACUUCAAGAAAACUUGGCCAAUCAUUCAGCAGAGUAACAACCAUUAUCUUGGGCAACACCAGGAAAUGAACAUGGAGUCUCUACCGCUUGAACUGAAGGAUGAAGUCUCUUAGCUGGUAGCUACAGUAGACUUAUAUCUUCUGUAAAUCAGGAAGAGAGGGGGGUGCCCAAUACAAACUGAACUAUAGGUUCUAGAAAUUCUCCUAAAAACGAUAGAAAAAGAUUGAUAUUAACACUAAGGAGCAAACAGACUAGUGCCUCAUAACCCAUCUGAAAGAGAAUAAUUAUUUAUGGUCUCUUGUCUCUAUUGUAUCUUAAUCUAUUUACAAUGUAACCUCUUUGGGGCAGGGACUGUCUUUUCGACUUGUGUGUGCAGAGCACCUAGCACAGGGGUCGGCAACCUUUCAGAAAUGGUGUGCCAAAUCUUCAUUUAUUCACUGUAAUUUAAGGUUUCGCAUGCCAGUAAUACAUUUUACAUAUACAGGGGCCUGGAGACAGAACCCCAGCCUGGCAGCGGGCUGAGCGGGGCCGCUGCCGAUC